CCUGCUCAAUGAUAUUAAAUAGCCGCUUCAAGUGCUAAGGUAGCAUAAUAAAUUGCUCUUUAAUUAAGAGAUAGAAUGAAAGGAAACACGCCUUACUAAUUGUAUCCAACUAUCAAUAUUAAAUUAUACUAACCAGUAAAAAUACUAUUAACGCCUAAGCAGGACGACAAGACCCUUUCGAACUUAACCUAUAAUUUCACUGGGAAGGUGAAAACCUAUAUCUUUCCGCCUCCUUCAAUAAACGCCUUAACCGAAUAAAACCAAGUUACCGUAGGGAUAACAGCAUAAUAAUUUAAUAAAGCCCCUAUAACAUAAAUUGAUUAUGACCUCGAUGUUGAAUUAACAAAACUCUUAAUAGAAAAAAAUAAAAAAGUAAGUCUGUUCGACUUUAAAACCGUUACAU
rnacentral:rRNA from 1 species